GGGGAGGCUGCAGCCCCAGCCCAGCCCCAAACGCUGGGUUGGAACUUACCGAGUGUGCGUUUUAAUUCUGUCUCAUUCCCCGGCCGGGAGCCCAACAUGGUAUUUGUAAGUUGAAGAGCCUUUGAAAAGGCAAACACAGAAUUGUAUAAUAUAUAUUAGCUCACAGCGUAAAGAUUGCAUUGAACUUAAACUGACUGAACUGUAAAGAACAAAAACGACGUUUCAGGUUUUAACUCGGUUUGGCCACUUCCCCGGCCCUCAUGUGCUGGGGAACUGGAGGUUGCAGUGAUGAAAACAGUGAGAAGACAGUGAACAUCGCUAUGCACCCACACGUCCGGCCGAGAACGUUCUGACGAGAGCCAGCCGGUUUUUGGAAGGGCCGAGGUGACCCGAAUUCAGGAACAGGGAGACCCGGGCAUGAUGGCGUCCCGCCCCAGCAUGAGACCUCCCGGGGCUGUCUUUGUCCUGGCUGCUUCCUGCAGCUGGGCCUGCCUCGGGGCUGCAGCGAGGCUGGCGGUCAGCAGUGUCCCUGCCACUGGCCAAGGCAGACCCCACCGUGUCUGCUGAGAAGCAGCCCUUCCUGCGCCCAAGGUCUAGGCCUCUGGGAGGCAGCUAACCAUUCACACAGCAGAGCUGAUAAACGUGUCAGUGUCUGCCAGAAGCCAAGCUGGUUCCCGUAUACAGAUGACAUAUUUGCAUUUUAAUUGGCUCUUCUGUGGACUCUAAACCUAGUUCCAAAGGAGGACAACUCAGGCUGGGAAUUUCAAAUAUGCAGCAGAUGCUGAUGGGAGAGGAGUUGCAUAGCCAGACUCUUGAGAGAUCUCAAGUGACAGCACCUAGGCAUGGCUACUUCAUCUUUUUCUUUGCAUAAGGAUAAUUCUUCCAAUGGUGAGAUGUUUAAUACCAGGAAGCAGAGUUCUGCAAUAAUUGGAGAUCCUGGAUCCCACUGACUCUCCUAACUAGAAGGAACAGAAAAUGAAAGUGUGAAGCAUGGAGCUGCAGCAGCCAUCUUAGGACCAUGAGGGGAGCUGACCUAUGACAUUGAAGGGGACAGGCCAGUACACUGAAGAUGAAAUGGCAAGAACUUAAGUCCUUGAUGACCCAAUUUGACUGGCUCCCACUUAGAGAAUCUUUGCAUCCUUAAGGACAAUCUACUUGUUUCCACUUGGACAGCUUGAUGAGGAAGAGAACGAACUCCUGGAAAGCUCGUACUCACAGCCAAGGAGAGCCAAGUGAAAAGUUGGUUCCAUUUUCCCCAGAGAGUAACAGUUCAUUUAAUUCCAGCAAUAAACUGGCUCCAGGGAGAAAGGACUGUUUAAAGGCUAGACAGCAGCCAAUGAGAUGUCCUGAUACGAGAGCUUGGCAGAAAAGGAGGACCUUCUGCAGGAUGGUGUCUGGCUGACUCGGACUGUGAGACGUGCUGAGGUAAUUUGUAAGAAAAAAGAGGAAGGAGAGACAGUCAUGAUAUCGGUGGAAGUCUAGAGUCGCAAGCAAAAGACACCUGUUGUUGAGAGGCCAGCAUGAUAACCAGGUAUCUGUGUUGUAUCCCAAAUGCCAGUUGGUUUUCUUAUCUCCUAUUCUCUCACUUCUCCAUGUAACUUUAUCGUAAGCCCCCAGACUGAGGAAACAUGAUUAGAACUCUGUUUCUGGCCCCCACCCCGUAUGUCCAUAUCCUGACCCCCAGCACCUGUGAAUGUUACUUUAUAGGGCAAAAGGGACUUUGAAGAUGCGAUGAAAGAUUUUGAGAUGGACAAACUGUCCUGGAUUUUCCGGU